CUUAAUGUGAUUUGUACCUGCUAUUUAAUUAUUUGUAAAUUUUUUGUUAAAAUUAUUUUUCUUUGUUUAACUAUGUUGCAAUCAGUCUGCACCAAAUUCUUUUUAACUACUUGUCCGAGGACCAAUAUUCUGACAUUUUUCUUAUUGGUCCAAACAAAGUUUUGCAAAAGCUUACUAGUUCAAAUGAAAUUGUACUAGUCGGAGGCAUCGGGCUAGUGGCUAACUGUUCAGACUGUGCAUUUAACAUUUCAUGACAUCAUGACACUAUUAAUUUAAGUUUUACACACUUGAAUCUAUAUCACACCCCAUAUCAAUAAAAAUCUUUGUUUCGUAUAUUAUUGUAUAAAUGUUAUAGAUAUCAGUUAGCAGGGUGAAUAAAAGUAAAGACUACAAAAUUAGUGUCUUUAAACAUAUUUUUUUAUUGCAUUUACUAUUAUUUUCUGAGAAUUGUUUAUAUUUUUACUAUUAGUCCAGAAAUAGAUCUCUCUCAAAUAAUUAGUGCAUAAUGUCCAUUAGAAAGUAAAUAUAUUUAAUAAAUGUUUGGUAAUUGUAAAUUGAAAGACUUUAAAUGAAAGAUAAUCGUGUAUGACUGUUGUGUAGGUACACUUUAAAUUGUGUUAGUGUUUAUUUUAGAGCAACAAAACCACAUCGAUUGCAAAUGCAUGUAGUUGUUAGAGCAUUUAACAAUAAUCUGAGUUAAUUACAUGUAGUAGUAGUAUUUUAUUUUUGAAAUGUAUUUCAAUUAAAGAUGGAUGUAUAUUACUGAAUUAUAGAUUUGCAUGAUAAAACAUGUGUCAAUGCUAUUUUAUUUGGCAGGCAAUAUUCAUGUUUAUUUCAUAUUGGUUGAGAAUAAGCUUAUCUGAUUGGAUAAAAAGCAACCACAUGGCAUUUUUUAUUCUUCUGUAAUAAAUUCCUUUGGUCUUAACAGAACAAAACGGACUGGAAAACCGGUCGUUAACAGACUUUUACAUGAUAAUGACCGGUGGGGCAUGGUGUGUCUGUUUGAGUGACGUUCCGUAAUAAAACGCAAUCACGAUUCAGAAGUGUUGACAGUUUACAGUUUAGGAAAAUGGAAGACACAUCUGCUAGUGCAGACAACUCUAAUGACCGUUUUGCAACUUUUAAAAUUAAAGUUAACUUUAUUUUGUAUUUCUUAUACUGAUGUGACUUAUAGUUAUUUAAAACCAUGACCAGUCUUCACUCUUUCCUAUAGAAAUCGUACAUUAUCUCGAGGUUAUUUUCAAUAAUUUGAAUUUAUGAAUUCUUUUUUAAACAUAGUUUCUCAAUUAAAUGAACAUAAUAGUUAUUGAAAACUGGUCAUUAUCCUGAUAUAUGGACAGACGUAAAACAGUGGUAUUGACUGCAACAGCGAUAAAAACCAUGACUUCGGCUUCGGCUCGGUCAUUAUCACUAUCUUAGUCAAUACCACUGUCCUGUGGAUUGUCAAUAUACACGAUAAUGACCAGUUUUUCAAUAACUAUUAUGUAAAUACAAUUUACAUUUUAAAUUGUUUAUAGAUUCUUAUGCAGUAAGUAAAUUUCAUGACACUGUUCUAAGAGCUAGAUUGGUUCAUGUAGGAAAUGAUUUUAUUUUGUUUCUUAAUUUCCUUAAUAAGUACACACAUAGCAAUAACCAUUUUUAGCUUGUGAAAUAUUACCCUUUUCUUGAUCUAUAAACUGUUAUAAUAUUUUGUUGUGUUUUGUUUGUGUUAUCUUAAUUUCUAAAUGAUCUCUAACAAAUAUCUGUCUGUGAUAUUUUGGAACAUUUGUGUUAUGCAAUAGUUUAUACUUCUAUACUCCUUCAAUGUUGAAUGUAGUGUAAAUUGUAAAAUAUUCUCCAAUUAUCUCCCUUUUUUCAAUAUUGUCAAUGCAGAUUCUUCAUUAAAAAGAACUACUUUGUUGUGCAUUUCGUUAGUAUGUUUACUGCUUAUUUCAAUAUUUAAUUGAAUAUCCUUUGACAUCAUUUUAUUUACUAACACUCAGGUAUUAAAAGAAUCAUUUAAAGACUAAAAUGUCAAAUAAUAAAUAAUAGAUAUUUCUAUUGCUGACCUGUAUAUAAUUUGUUUGGACAUUCAAAAAUAGGACAGUGAUAACCCUUUUGUCAAAUUCUAUUAUUUACCAUUGAUACUAUAUCAACAACUAACACUGUUGUAAAUGUUUCUCCCAUGCACAUUUAAAGUCAAAAUUUGUUAAUCGUUGCCAGACAAAUAGAAACAGAGAUUCCUCAAUCAGGCUACUAAUAUUGUUAAGAUUUGUUUUUAAGUUUGUUAUUUACUGAACAUCUUUUUAUCUAUAAAGUGAUAUGAACAAAACCAAGCAGUUAAAAUUAAAUUUAUAGAAUCAUGUAUGAACCAGCUGGGAAAAGUCUGAAAAAAACUUUUUCUUGACUUGGCAGUUGUAAAAAAGUGUAUGUAAAGAUUGACACUAAAUGAUCAAUUUGGUCUAAAUCAUGUGUCCUAAUUAUGUUUAAACUAAAUAAAAAAGGCAAUAAUCAGUUGGAAUUUUGCACUUCAUCUGAUAGCAAACACGACUAUGCCUUGGUUUAAGAGCAUCAUACAAAGGAGAUAAUCCAGUUAAAGUUGCAUUUUAUUUUCUUAACAUAUUGUUUGGAUAAUCAGUCUUUUAUAAUAUUUUUGAUACUCUUAUUUUAUGCAAUAAGAUUGUAAUUUUUGUUUGUUUUAAUUUAUUUUUUGAAUUGAUUGUUUAUUUAUAUUUUUUGUAAUAAUGUAAUAAAUACAUUAAGAC
rnacentral:lncRNA from 1 species